rnacentral:lncRNA from 1 species
GAGUAUGGUGCACUUGGCAAUAAAGGCGACUAAGACUUGAGCUUUCAUUGACGGUCAUGGACGAUACUGUAUAUCAAAUUCACUGAGUUUGAUCGCCCAUUUUACCAUCUGAUCGAAGGUAUUAGGUUGAUGUAAGAUUGCUUUCAAGGAUUGGUCCAUUAAGAUGAUCACUAAGUAUGCUUGAAAGUAUGGUCGAAGCCGC